ACGACCUUACUUGAACAGGAUCUGUUCUAUAGGAUCGUACCUCUGUGUCUUUGACUUCUAAGGAGACAGGAUCAUAACCCUGGUGGAUGAAUCAUAGCCAUGCGAUCAGAGCGUGAUUAACGGUUUGGUGAUCCUAGGGUCACCCCAUAGCUGUAGAUGAUCGUUCUCAGCUUGGUCUUACUAAGCUUGGGGUGGUCGCUUGGCUGUCUGACAGGUU